GUGGGGAAUCUUCCGCAAUGGACGAAAGUCUGACGGAGCAACGCCGCGUGAGGGAUGACGGCCUUCGGGUUGUAAACCUCUUUUAGUAGGGAAGAAGCGAAAGUGACGGUACCUGCAGAAAAAGCACCGGCUAACUACGUGCCAGCAGCCGCGGUAAUACGUAGGGUGCAAGCGUUGUCCGGAAUUAUUGGGCGUAAAGAGCUCGUAGGCGGCUUGUCGCGUCUGCUGUGAAAUCCCGGGGCUCAACCCCGGGCCUGCAGUGGGUACGGGCAGGCUAGAGUGCGGUAGGGGAGAUUGGAAUUCCUGGUGUAGCGGUGGAAUGCGCAGAUAUCAGGAGGAACACCGAUGGCGAAGGCAGAUCUCUGGGCCGCUACUGACGCUGAGGAGCGAAAGCAUGGGGAGCGAACAGGAUUAGAAACCCUGGUAGUCC
rnacentral:rRNA from 1 species